UCGGGAAUUUUGGGCAAUGGGCGAAAGCCUGACCCAGCAACGCCGCGUGAAGGAUGAAGUAUUUCGGUAUGUAAACUUCGAAAGAAUAGGAAGAAUAAAUGACGGUACUAUUUAUAAGGUCCGGCUAACUACGUGCCAGCAGCCGCGGUAAUACGUAGGGACCAAGCGUUGUUCGGAUUUACUGGGCGUAAAGCGUGCGCAGGCGGUUGUGUAAGUCAGAUGUGAAAUCCCCGGGCUCAACCUGGGAAUUGCAUUUGAGACUGCACGGCUAGAGUGUGUCAGAGGGGGGUAGAAUUCCACGUGUAGCAGUGAAAUGCGUAGAUAUGUGGAGGAAUACCGAUGGCGAAGGCAGCCCCCUGGGAUAACACUGACGCUCAUGCACGAAAGCGUGGGGAGCAAACAGGAUUAGAUACCCCGUAGUCCCUGAGCGGGCUGGCAAGGCGCAU
rnacentral:rRNA from 1 species